UUCCCUCCAGAUGGAAGAAAAAACUGAAAAAGUCCAUGGGGAACUUCUUGAUGUGACAAUUGGAAAAGGCUGUGGAACUUGCACUUAGAUAAGAUUGAUUCCAGGCCUUAAUUAAUUCUGGACCAUGAGCCAUACCUUCAUAGAACACAGAACUGAUCAGAUUUCCAGUGCUUGACCCACGGAGCAGUGAUGAAAUGCCGUUUUCUAUGAUGGGGAACCUGGAGACGGUUGGAGGUGGGGAAGAAGGCCAGUUUGGUUCUGCACUUGUGGAGCUGAAGCUGCUUUGUCACCCCGGUGGAGCUGUUGAGAAGGCAGGUGAUGUGCGAGACUGUGCUUGGAACACAGAUCUGUCCCAGAAAGAUACAUUUUGGAAAUUUCAGCAUUUGCUAGAACAAGUUUUUCUUGACUCUGAAUGUCCCUUACCUAAAGAACAUUACCACUUCAGCUGCAAUGCAGGAU